rnacentral:tRNA from 1 species
UGUCGCUCAGUGGUAGAGCGCUUGCCUGGCAUGCUUGGGGCCCUGGGUUCCAUUCCCAGCA